ACAGCAGCAGCCGCGGUAAUACGUAGGUGGCAAGCGUUGUCCGGACUUAUUGGGCGUAAAGCGAGCGCAGGCGGUCAAUUAAGUCUGAUGUGAAAGCCCCCGGCUCAACCGGGGAGGGUCAUUGGAAACUGGUUGACUUGAGUGCAGAAGAGGAGAGUGGAAUUCCAUGUGUAGCGGUGAAAUGCGUAGAUAUAUGGAGGAACACCAGUGGCGAAGGCGACUCUCUGGUCUGUAACUGACGCUGAGGCUCGAAAGCGUGGGUAGCAAACAGGAUUAGAUACCCCCUGUAGUCCCUGUCUCUUAUA
rnacentral:rRNA from 1 species